rnacentral:rRNA from 1 species
ACGCUCGACACCUACAGGAGGCAGCAGUGGGGAAUAUUGCACAAUGGGGGAAACCCUGAUGCAGCGACGCCGCGUGGAGGAAGAAGGUCUUCGGAUUGUAAACUCCUGUCCCAGGGGACGAUAAUGACGGUACCCUGGGAGGAAGCACCGGCUAACUACGUGCCAGCAGCCGCGGUAAUCUGAGGCGGGCUGGCAAGGC